GUACUUACUCCUACGGGAGGCAGCAGUGGGGAAUAUUGCACAAUGGGCGCAAGCCUGAUGCAGCGACGCCGCGUGGGGGAUGACGGCCUUCGGGUUGUAAACUCCUUUCGCUAGGGACGAAGCGCAAGUGACGGUACCUGGAGAAGAAGCACCGGCUAACUACGUGCCAGCAGCCGCGGUAAUACGUAGGGUGCGAGCGUUGUCCGGAAUUACUGGGCGUAAAGAGCUCGUAGGUGGUUUGUCGCGUCGUUUGUGUAAGCCCGCAGCUUAACUGCGGGACUGCAGGCGAUACGGGCAUAACUUGAGUGCUGUAGGGGAGACUGGAAUUCCUGGUGUAGCGGUGGAAUGCGCAGAUAUCAGGAGGAACACCGAUGGCGAAGGCAGGUCUCUGGGCAGUAACUGACGCUGAGGAGCGAAAGCAUGGGUAGCGAACAGGAUUAGAUACCCCAGUAGUCCAGGCAU
rnacentral:rRNA from 1 species